CCUACGGGAGGCAGCAGUAGGGAAUUUUCGUCAAUGGGCGCAAGCCUGAACGAGCAAUGCCGCGUGAACGAGGAAGGUCUUCGGAUCGUAAAGUUCUGUUGAAGGGGAAAAAGAGCGGAGAGAGGAAAUGCUUUCUGAUUGAUAUUACCCUUCGAGGAAGUCACGGCUAACUACGUGCCAGCAGCCGCGGUAAUACGUAGGUGGCGAGCGUUAUCCGGAAUGAUGGGGCGUAAAGGGUGCGUAGGCGGCCUGCUAAGUCUGGAGUGAAAGGUACCGGCUCAACCGGUACAGGCUCUGGAAACUGGCGAGCUAGAGAGCAGGAGAGGGCGGUGGAACUCCAUGUGUAGCGGUAAAAUGCGUAGAUAUAUGGAAGAACAUCAGUGGCGAAGGCGGCCGCCUGGCCUGUUAACUGACGCUGAGGCACGAAAGCGUGGGGAGCAAAUAGGAUUAGAUACCCCUGUAGUC
rnacentral:rRNA from 1 species